rnacentral:lncRNA from 1 species
GUUUAAGCGGAAGAUCAACUUGUAUUGAUUGGUAGAAAGAGUACAACUUAUAUAUGACUGGAAGAGAUGCGUCGAACAGACUCGACGGUUCAAACAGUCAUAUCCUAGGUCGGUUGCUAAUUACAGGGAUGCAGCGGUUGGAAAGAGAGACACGUCCCUUGCUAUGCAACCGUACAGUGUUUAGGCAAAAGUAGAUUCCCUAUUAAUUAAACAUAAUUAAUUAAUUCUAACAUUCCCCCUAAUCUACGCUUGUCCAUGUAGAAUCUUCAUAUGCUUGUCCAGGUAUGAUCAGCGUCUCCAAGGUUGUCCAUCAUAGUAUCACCACCUCGAAAAGAUCCUUCUUCAAAAAUUCUUCAAUAGGAUUCUUGAUGAGAACCUGAACAUAAACUCACAAAGAGAACGAGUGCAAUAUGAUGUUUUUAAUCAGGAAUAGUUCAGGGAGAAACUCCCCCUGAUACUUGCAAGUCCCGAAGUCGUCGCAUACCAAUUCCAUGAACAUAUUUAUGGAAUGUAGUAUUUGGUAGAGACUUGGUAAAUAAAUCAGCAAGGUUUUCACAUGAUUUAACUUGCAAGAUGUUUAUUUCCCCACUUUUCAGAAGUUCAUGGGGAAAAAACCAUUUAGGAGAAAUAUGCUUAGUGAUAUUACUCUUGAUGUAUCAUGUUUGCAUCUGUGCAACACAAGCUGCAUUAUCUUCGUAGAUAAUGGUAGGUGAUUCAAUAGAACCAAUUCCACAUAACUGUUGUAUGUGGUUUAUCAUUCUGCGAAGCCACACAUUCGCGUGAUGCCUCAAAUAAUGAAAUAAUUUCAGAAUGAUUGGUAGAUGUUGCCACCAGAGUCUGUUUAGAAGACUUCCAUGAUAUAGCAGUUCCACCAUGUAGGAACACAAAGCCGGACUGUGAUCUGGCAUUAUGGGGAUCAGAUAAAUAGCCAGCAUCUGCGUAUCCAAUCAUAUUAGAGUCCUGAUUUCUUUGGAACUGAAAAAAUAGGCCAAGAUCCUUUGUGUCUUGGAGAUAUCGAAAGAUAUUCUUGACUCCAGACCAAUGACGUUUAGUGGGAGCUGCGCUAUGUCUAGCAAGUAGAUUCACUGCAAAUGCGAGGUCAGGUCUCGUGCAAUUUGCAAGAUACAUGAGCGCUCCAACAGCACUUAGAUAUGGAACCUCGGGUCCCAAUAUUUCUUCUCCAUCAUCCCUUGGCCUAAACGGAUCUUUCUCUACGUCUAGAGAAUGAACCACCAUGGGAGUUUUAGAUGGGUAGGAUUUGUCCAUAUUGAAUUUCUCCAAUAUUUUCUGGAUAUAGGCAGCUUGGUGUACCAUGAUUCCUGAGGGAAGGUGCUCAAGUUGAAUACUUAAGCAAAAUUUGGUUUUACCCAAAUCCUUCAUCUCAAAUUCCAUCUUUAGGUGAUUGCGUGCUUCAUCAAUAUCUUGUGUAUUGCCAAUGAUGUUGAGGUCAUCGACGUACACUGAAAUGAUACAAAAUCCUGUAGAGGACUUUUUGAUAAAGACACAUGGGCAAUCACUACUAUUGGAGUAACCCUUAUGAAGAAGAAACUCACUAAGUCGGUUGUACCACAUCCGUCCCGACUGUCUUAAGUCAUGUAAUGACUGAUUCAGUUUUACACAAUACAUAUUACGUCUUGCGCUUGUAUUUGGGAUAGAGAUUCCGUCAUGAACCUUCAUAUACAUGUCCGAAUCUAGUGACCCAUAAAGAUAUGCGGUCAGGACAUCCAUCAACUGCAUAGAUAGAUGAUUUUGCACUGCCAAAGAUAUAAGGUAUCGGAAAGUGGUUCCACUCAUUACAGGAGAAUAUGUCUCAUUGAAAUCAAUGCCGGGUCUCUGCGUGAACCCUUGUGCUAUGAGCCUUGCUUUGUAUCUCACCACCUCAUUGUUCUCAUUCCGUUUUCGGAGAAAAAACCCAUUUGUAUCCCACAGGAAAAACAUUGGGAGGUGUCGGUAUUGCUUCAGUGAAUACCUUUCUUUUGUUAAGCGAGGCAAUUUCUGCUUGCGUCCUUCCAUUUAGGCCAGUCGGAGCGCUUUUGGCACUCAACGAUGGCCUUUGGAUCAUGAUCAGUGAGAAGGAUAUCUGCAAUUUUUUCAGCAAAAUAAAUGUCGACAGUCGUAGACUUACGAUCGGAAGAUUCUCCAGAAUCGAUAUAGUUGAUGGAAAUUUCCUGCAGCCCUAGUGACUCUUCGUGAUUUCCCAAUACGCAUGAAUCUGGGUGUUCCGAUGGCCCAGCCAGUGUGUGCAAACUGAAGCUGGGUUGUGGAGGUUGCCCUUCCACUGGGUGUAUACUACCCAUGAGGUGUUUGUCAACGUUGAGUUGACUUGCAUUUACUGACUCUGAGGUUUUUCUCCUCGAUUUCCUUUGUUGCUUGCUGGAAGCUUGUUCCAGGUCAGAGGCCGUACUACUCCCCCUCUUUUUAGGAACAGGGAAUUGAGUGGUUUUUAUUGGUACCUCCACUCUUUCAGGCGCAUUUCUGGCCGGGUUUAAGGACUUUGUAACACCUUUUAGAUCAGUAAAUGAAUCUGGCAGGUUAUUUGCAAGAUGUUGCAAAUUAAUGGUUUUCCGAACUUGGAGUUCGGUCUCUUGUGUAUGUGGAUCAGAGGACGAAAUGGCUUGAGCAUUCCAAUCAAUUUCCAGGCAUUCUUUCUGGUACUUGAAGUCCCCCCCUAAUGCCGGAAAGUGUUCCUCAUUAAAUAUACAAUCAGCGUGACGGGCUGUGAACAGGUCCCCAGUAAGGGGUUCCAGGUACUUAAUAAUUGACGGUGAUUUGUACCCCACAUAGAUCCCCAGUUUCCUAUGUGGGCUCAUGGAUGUCCGUUGUGGUGGUGAGAUCGGGAUGUAUGCAGCACAUCCAAACUUACACAGAUGGGAAAUGCUAGGAGGAUUUCCACGUACCAAUUGCAGAGGGGAAGUACUGUGAUAUGCAGUAGGCCUCAAUUGUAUCAAGUCACCAGCGUGUAGAAUCGCAUGACCCCAACAAGAGGUUGGCAAGUUGCAAUUCAUUAACAAAGGUCUUGCAAUGAGUUUGAUCCUUUUAAUCAAUGAUUCAGCCAAACCAUUUUGUGUAUGGACAUAUGGAACGGAGUGCUGAGCUUCAAUCCCCUGGGCCAUGCAAUUAUCAUUGAAAGCACGUGAGAAGAAUUCUGCGGCGUUGUCCAUGCGAAUUGUCUUAAUUCGACUUUCUAGAUAAUGGGCUUGUAACUUAAUGACUUGCCUCAUUAUCUUGGCAAAUGCAUGGUUUCGUGUGGAUAGAAGACACACGUGUGACCACGUGUGGAUGCAUCAAUUAGAACCAUGAAGUACCGGAAAGGUCCAGAUAAUGGUUGGAUGGGACCACAAAUGUCUCCUUGAAUGCGUUCAAGAAAUUGAAGUGGUUCAACUUGUACUUUGAGGUGAGAGGGUCUCAAAAUUAGCUUUCCCGUGGCACAAGAUGUGCACACAAAGUCUGAAGAUUGAGGAAAUUUUGACUCAAGCAAAUUAUGACCAAUGGAAUUGCUGGUAAUUUUUCUCAUCAUCCCGAUCCCGGGAUGGCCUAGGCGAUCAUGCCAGGUUUGAAAUGCGUCAACAUUUUGAAAAACUACUUUGUAUGCAACAUGUUCUACGGGUUUGAUGUACGUAUAGUACAAACCAGACGAUAGAGAAGGAAUUUUUUCAUGUACCUGCUUGCCAUAUCCGUGAUCUUUGGUGAAGAGUAGAUACUCCUCUUUGUUGUCUUCACGGGUUUCAAUGUGAAAGCCAUUUUUACGGAUAUCUCGAUAACUGAUCAGGGUACGUGAUGAGUCGGGAUACAACAAAGCAUCCUCAAUUAUCACUUGUGUACCGCCUGGGAGGGUAAAUAUGGCACGUCCAGUGCCAACGAUUACCGUAUCACGUCCAGCGCGUUAGAAUAUCUCCAUUCAUCUUUUUUAGAGUUUGAAAAUAUUUCAUCUCCCUCAGUAUGGAGUUUGUGGUUGCACUAUCCACAAGGCAUAAUUCCUCUUCCAUCGGAUUGUCCCCGUAGAGAACUAUAUAUAAGACAAAGAACUUUCAAUAAGAAAAUCUCAUGUAAAUACAUAGAAUACAAUCUUAUUUAUAUCAAAUAUGUUGGUACAAUUACAAUCUUAUUAUAUCAAAUGUGCUGAUACAAUAUAAAGAGAACAACAAUACUUAUGUUCUUAUUACAACAUCACAAAUGGACAUAGCUAAAUAGAUCACUAAGGUGAUUGUGGGACUAGUCGAAGUCUCCAAACGUGUCGUUUGAGGUAUACUCAAUCAUCAUGUUCUCCGUGUCAGCAAGGUCCUCUGGCUGAUGGAACUCGAUGGUGUUGCUCGGUUCAGGAGGAACGUCAUGCGAACUACCGGCUCCAUUGGCGCUGUCCGGAUGAAGGUUGAAGUUGGCUUCAAACCUCUUCCCUUGAGGUGCUUUGCGUCCCUGAGAUUGCUGGUACAACAUAACCAGAUGUUUUGGGAUCUUGCACUUGUCGGUGGGGUGCGUGUAGCAUCCACACUUGUUGCAAAGCAGAGAUUUAUCAUGCUUGGGCUUUGCAGUGCCUUUUCCCUUGUCUGAGUUCCUAGACCUCCUGUUCCUAAUGCGCUUUCGCUUGUUCUGGAAAUUUGAUUGAUUGCCCCUAAAGGCACCAUCAAACUUCUGUCUAUUCGCGACAUUCAUAUGAACUUCGGGUAGAGGUUGUGCCCCAACUGGGCGUUGAGAGCCAUUCUUAGCGAGUAGCUCAUCAUGCUUUUCAGCCUGAAGUAACAUAUGAAUAAGCUCGGAAUAGACAGUAUAGUUGCGAGCACGGUAUUGCUGCUGGAGGAUCCUGUCUGAAGGGAGCAUAGUAGAUAAAGUUUUCUCUAUUUUCUCCGCAUCAGUAGGUUCCUUCCCGCAAAAGCGAGUUUGGAACUUAUCUUAUGAACCUUGUGGUUGUACUCACUGAUGGACUUGAAAUCCUGAAGACGAAGGUGAGUCCAAUCAUGGAGCGCUUCUGGCGGGACAACUGCCUUCUGCUGUUCAUAUCUCGUUUUGAGGGCUAGAAACAAAGUACUGGGAGAUUCCUCCUCUAAGUACUCAGACUUUAGAUCUGGGUGAAUAUGGUGCCUUAUAAUGUAUAAAGUUGCAUAGUUUUGCUGUUCAGUCAGCGGCGUGGUUCCGGCCGGUAGAGGAGUCUCCGGAUCCUGGAUUGCACGUGCUAUCCCACGGGAAGCAAGGCUGAUCUUGACGUCCAUGGCCCAUGUAGGGUAGUUGUGGCCAUUGAGGGCAAGCUCCUCAAAUUCUUUUGCGGUCAUCGUGUUGGAAAUAUGCCCUAGAGGCAAUAAUAAAAUGGUUAUUAUUAUAUUUCCUUGUUCAUGAUAAUUGUCUGUUGUUCAUGCUAUAAUUGUAUUAACUGAAAACCGUAAUACAUGUGUGAAUACAUAGACCACAACAUGUCCCUAGUAAGCCUCUAGUUGACUAGCUCGUUGAUCAAUAGAUGGUUAUGGUUUCCUGACCAUGGACAUUGGAUGUCAUUGAUAACGGGAUCACAUCAUUAGGAGAAUGAUGUGAUGGACAAGACCCAAUCCUAAGCAUAACACAAGAUCGUGUAGUUCGUUUGCUAAGAGCUUUUCUAAUGUCAAGUAUCGUUUCCUUAGACCAUGAGAUUGUGCAACUCCCGGAUACCGUAGGAAUGCUUUGGGUGUACCAAACGUCACAACGUAACUGGGUGGCUAUAAAGGUGCACUACAGGUAUCUCCGAAAGUGUCUGUUGGGUUGGCACGAAUCGAGACUGGGAUUUAUCACUCCGUAUGACGGAGAGGUAUCUCUGGGCCCACUCGGUAAUGCAUCAUCAUAAUGAGCUCAAUGUGACUAAGGAGUUAGCCACGGGAUCAUGCAUUACGGAACGAGUAAAGAGACUUGCCGGUAACGAGAUUGAACGAGGUAUUGGGAUACCGACGAUCGAAUCUCGGGCAAGUAACAUAUCGAUUGACAAAGGGAAUUGCAUACGGGAUUGAUUGAAUCCUCGACAUCGUGGUUCAUCUGAUGAGAUCAUCGAGGAGCAUGUGGGAGCCAACAUGGGUAUCCAGAUCCCGCUGUUGGUUAUUGACCGGAGAGUCGUCUCGGUCAUGUCUGCGUGUCUCCCGAACCCGUAGGGUCUACACACUUAAGGUUCGGUGACGCUAGGGUUAUAGAGAUAUUAGUAUGCGGUAACCCGAAAGUUGUUCGGAGUCCCAGAUGAGAUCCCGGACGUCACGAGGAGUUCCGGAAUGGUCCGGAGGUAAAGAUUUAUAUAUGGGAAGUCUUGUUUUGGUCGCCGGAAAAGUUUCGCGCAUUAUCGGUAUUGUACCGGGAGUGCCGAAAGGGGUCCGGGGGUCUACCUGCCCCGGGGGGCCACAUGGGCUGUAGGGGUGUGCGCCUUGGCCUAUAUGGGCCAAGGGCACCAGCCCCAAGAGGCUCAUGCGCCAAGAGAUAAGGGAAAGGGAGAGUCCUAAAGGGGGAAGGCACCUCCUAGGUGCCUUGGGGAGGAUGGACUCCUCCCUGGCCGCACCCUUCCUUGGAGGAAGGGCCAAGGUUGCGCCCCCCCUCUCCCUUGCCCCUAUAUAUAUGUGGGGAAGGGGAGGGCAGCCAUACCCUAAGCCCUGGCGCCUCCCUCUCCCUCCCGUGACACAUCUCCCUCCUCCCGCUGCGCUUGGUGAAACCCUGUUGGAAUCCCGCCACUUCCACCACCACGCCGUCGUGCUGCUGGAUCUCCAUCAACCUCUCCUUCCCCCUUGCUGGAUCAAGAAGGAGGAGACGUCGUUGCUCCGUACGUGUGUUGAACGCGGAGGUGCCGUCCGUUCGGCGCUAGGAUCAUCGGUGAUUUGGAUCACGACGAGUACGACUCCAUCAACUCCGUUCUCUUGAACGCUUCCGCUCGCGAUCUACAAGGGUAUGUAGAUGCACUCCUCUCUCUCAUUGCUAGAUGACUCCAUAGAUUGAUCUUGAUGAUGCGUAGAAAAUUUUGAAUUAUUGCUACAUUCCCCAACACAUCGUUUACCUACAUGGAUGAACCAGAGAUAAUUAAUUUAUGGCGGGUAAAUUAAAAACCAUCAUGGUUGUAUUGUAAUAAUGGUGCAAAUUUUGAUAGUCAAGUGGAGAACUUGAAUAAUGUAGACCUCCAUUGAUUAAACAUAACACGUCGAAGAUCGCGUAGAUCUCAUAGUAAUAGGCUACAUAAUCUGACAAUGUCAGUAGAUGCGCUCGCCUCUAUUACCUUGUGUAUGUUAUCAAUUUAAAUAUAAGGAAGUGCACAUUCAAGGUAAUCAUUUGUCGAACUGACCGUGAUUCCAAAUAUAAUGAGGGAGGCGUGUAUCAAAAAUUUGCAAGUUUGUUGUACGAGAGAAAUUAAUCUCAAUCGUUGGAACAUGUUCUAGAAAUUUUUUUCUAUGUGGUAAACACAUUGAACAUGUCAUUUCCAGAUAAUGCUGGUUCUUUAUUUACAUUAUCAAAUAUAUUACACAAUGUAAACAUACGCCUACAAAUAUUUACACAAGUACUAAAAAUAGAGUAAAUCUAGAUACCAGACUAGAAUGUACGUGUACAUAGGCUAAACAGUACUAAAACAGUGAUAGAUUACUGCUACAACUACUGUUAAAAGAAUUGAACAGAAGAAAAUCCAGAAAAAGAAUUCUACGAAUUCGGCCCGUAGCCAGGGGCGAUCUAGGCCAGACCCACAGCCCAAGUGGAGAGGGGGCGGUUGGUGGCCUUUUAACCAGGCGGAUUAGGGGAGCGAUCCCCCAAUCCUUCUGACCAAAUCCACGCCUGGGUGCCGCCGCCGCAUACGGGCGGCUCGCUGGCGCGCCUCCAUCUUCCUCGGAUGAGGAGACGUCGAUGGCGCCUGCAGCGGCGCCGUUGGGUAGAUUGGGGGCGAGACCGGAGCGACGACUAGGGCGGCGGUCGAUGGCGGCGAUGGCGCGACCGAAGAGGCGGCGGCGUCCCUCCAUGCUCGCGGAGUCCUGGCGGUGCGGUCGGGCGACCGUGCGCGGGGACGGUGGUGCCUCGUCGGCGCUGCGACACGGGCCGGCAUCCGCGUCUCCAGGCUGCGCGACCGGCGUCGAGCCAGCGGCUUGGGUCGUCCCUCCGGCGCCGUUUGGGAACGGCACGAAGACGAAGAAGCCGGGCUCGUCGACCGGUGCUGGAGGCGGAGGCGGAGUCCGCGUUGGAGCCGUGAGCGCGGGCCCGGGGAUGCCAUCUCCUGCCUGGGCGGAGCCGGCCACCGUUGGGGCGUGGUCGCAGCGUGCAGCGGCGCGAUGGCCGUGUCCAGGGGCGCGGAGGCCACGUCGAGGGCCGCGGCCAGCGGCCUGGUGACCUUGUCGUCCGACUCGGCGGAGACGGUGCAGUGCCCGGUGAAGUCGACGGCGCCCGCCUACUUCGUGAUGGCCACGGGCCGCGAAACGGCGACGGCGGCCGUCCUCACGGAUGAGCAGAGAAAGAAGUUGACAAGGCCGGGCAUUCUCACCGUCGGCGAGGCUCUCGGUAGAGAGCGUGCUGAUAACGUGUUUAAGCGAAAGAUCAACUUGUAUUGGUAGAAAGAGUACAACUUAUAUAUGACUGAAAGAGAUGCGUCGAACAGACUCGACGGUUCAAGGUGUCAUAUCCUAGGUCGGUUGCUAAUUACAGGGAUGCAACGGUUGGAAAGAGAGACACGUCCCUUGCUAUGCAAGGGUACAAUGUUUAGGCAAAAGUAGAUUCCCUAUUAAUUAAACAUAAUUAAUUAAUUCUAACAUGGAUGUUUCAAAUCCCCUGGAUUAUGUAGGAAUAGUUUCUAAUCCUCAAAGGAAUUUUGAAGGAUUCCAAUCCUCAGUUACUUUUUCUAUGUGUUGUUUGAUUCGUAGGGUUUUUCUGUUCCUGCGUUUUGAAAAUCCUUCGAAUCAAAGAGGCCCUCACUAUUCACAAUUCGUUUGAUCCGAACACAUCAAAGAUGAAAAACCCCG